rnacentral:rRNA from 1 species
CGGCGAGUGAAGCGGCAAGAGCUCAGAUUUGAAAUCGUGCUUUGCGGCACGAGUUGUAGAUUGCAGGUUGGAGUCUGUGUGGAAGGCGGUGUCCAAGUCCCUUGGAACAGGGCGCCCAGGAGGGUGAGAGCCCCGUGGGAUGCCGGCGGAAGCAGUGAGGCCCUUCUGACGAGUCGAGUUGUUUGGGAAUGCAGCUCCAAGCGGGUGGUAAAUUCCAUCUAAGGCUAAAUACUGGCGAGAGACCGAUAGCGAACAAGUACUGUGAAGGAAAGAUGAAAAGCACUUUGAAAAGAGAGUGAAACAGCACGUGAAAUUGUUGAAAGGGAAGGGUAUUGCGCCCGACAUGGGGAUUGCGCACCGCUGCCUCUCGUGGGCGGCGCUCUGGGCUUUCCCUGGGCCAGCAUCGGUUCUUGCUGCAGGAGAAGGGGUUCUGGAACGUGGCUCUUCGGAGUGUUAUAGCCAGGGCCAGAUGCUGCGUGCGGGGACCGAGGACUGCGGCCGUGUAG